AAUAACCGCUUAGGUUAUUAAGAGGGCUUGUCCUGAUUACUUAUAAGUAAUAUAGCGGAUAUAAGUUAAUGGUAGACUCAAUGACUUCCAAUCAUAAAGUAUCUGUUCAAGUCAGAUUAUCCGUAAAAUAUAAGUAAUAAUAAAGAUAUGAAAUGAAUCAUAAAGAAUAAAAAGGAAUUAUUGAAGAUUAUAUAAAUUAUAUAUUAGAAAAUGGAUAAUAGAAAAGAAUAAGAUAAUAUCAAAUUCAAAGAAUCCAAAGUAAAAACGAAUAAAAAAAACUAAAUGAACUGAAACAUCUAAGUAAUUUAAGGAAAAGAAAUAAAACAAAGAUUUAUAAAGUAGUGGUGAACGAAAUAUAAAAAGUCAAAAGAAGUAAUAUGUAAAAAAGAUAAUAUGUAUGAAAAAAGUGAAACUAUCACUAAGACUAAAUACUAAUAUAUAAAUAAAAAUAGUACCGUGAGGGAAAAUAAGUAAUCAGUAAUUUUAUGAGCAUAAUAAAAGAUUAAUAUCUAAAAUUAGUACCUCUUGUAUAAUGGGUUAGCAAGUAUAUAUGAAUAGCAAGAUAAUGAAAUAUAUCAUAGUGAAAUCGAAUAAUGGAUAAAAUCCAUAUUAUUAUAAAACAAUAAAAUAAUGAAGUUAUUUAUAUAUGACCCGAAAGUCCAUGAUCCUAUCAUGAUCAAGUGAAAGACUGAACUGGUUACUGUUGCAAUAGUAUCAGAAGAAUCGUGAUAAGAAGUGAAAUAUCAAUCAUAUGGACAGUUAGCUGGUUUACCACGAAAUAUAUGUAAGUAUAGCCAUAUAAGAAAUUAUUUAAAAAGUAUAGCACUUAAUACUGUGUUUCAAUUUAUAAUUGAAAAUUAUAUGGGGGAAUGUUAAAUUUUUAUCAUCGGUAUUUAAUCUCAGAAAUAAUAAUAAUAAUCUAUAUGAGUCAGACUAUCCGUGAUAAGAUGUAUAGUCAACAGGGAAACAGCCCAACACAAGAAAAUGAAGGUCCUUAAUAAAAUAAUAAGUGAAUAAAAGAUAAUUGAGUAUAAGAGCAUAGCUCGACUCAAUAUAAAACAAUUAGUUAGUUGGUUUGAUAGUAACUAUCUUAUAAUAAAAGUGUAAAAACUUACUAAAAUAGACAAAUGUCAGUAUAUAAAUUAUCAAAAAUAUAACGGGUCUAAAUUAUUUAACCUAAAACUUGUAUUUUAAUAAUUCAUAGUAAUUAAUUAAAAUGAUAGUGGUACAUUUAAUGAAAUAUAAUAAUUAAAUAGAGAAUGCUAACAUGAGUAACGAAAAUAAGGAAAAUCCUUAUCAUCUAAAACAUAAGGUUUUACAAUAAAAUCGGUCCUUAAGUUAAUAAUGAAUAAUAGUCGCUGACGCGAUUAAUAAUAGGUAAUAUAGGCUUUUGCCUGCAAUACACAAUUAUAUAGGAUGCGGGAGGGAAACCUCCCUAAUGCAUAUCAGCUAAGUACUUAGUAUUUAGCGGUGCAAUUCCAAUAAUGUAUAUAAUUCAAGAAAAUAAAUUAACCGUAAUGUAAACCGACACAGGUAUGUAUAGUAGAGAAUAUGAAGAUGAAUGGGAGAAUUAUAAUUAAUGAACUCGGCAAAAAGAUAAAUAAUUUGAAGAUAAUAUCUUCAAUUUAGUCAUAAAACAAAUAGCACAACUGUUUACUUAAAACACAGCACUAUGCAAAAAUAAUAAUUAUAGUAUAUAGUGUGAACUCUGCUCAAUUGUAGUAAAUAAAAUUGAAUGAUGCAAGUCAUACAACUUAAUAGCUAUAAAAUAGCGGUCUUAACGUGAGGAUCAUAAUGUAGCGAAAUUCCUUGUCCGCUAAAUACGGUCCAGCAUGAAUGACGUAAUGAUGCUAUAACUGUAUCAAUUAUAAACCCAGUGAAAUUGGAAUCGCGGUGAAGAUACCGUGUACCUAUAGAAUGACGAGAAGACCCUAUGCAACUUUACUAUGUAUAGAUAGAUUGAUAUAAUAUAUAUAUUAUUCAGUACUAUUAGGUAUUAUAUUAUUAAAAAGAUGAGAAACCUAUUGAUAAUAUAUAUUAUAUCUAAACGAAUGAAAUUUAUUAAUAGAGGGCAUUGCCCAAUAAUAUUCUUAAUAAAAUCAAUGAAUUUAAUUCAUUAAGUGACAAUCUCUAUAUGAUAGUUUGUGUGGGGCGCACAUUUCAGCAAAUGUAUCUGAAUAUGUCCAGAUUAUAAUAAAGAUAAAUUCUAGGUUAAUAACCUUAAUAAUAAAAAAGGACGUAGUCCUUCAAAUAAUAAUAUAUAUUAAGGGUUUAAUCCCUUAAUUAAAUAAUAGAAUAAACUAUAUGUGAUAAUAAUUGAUAUAGAAAUCAAUGAAAGAAUAUAAUUCUUCAUAAAGUGUAAUAGCAUAAUCACAUAAUAAUUGUAACAUCUACAAAUGAAACAAGUAUUUACGUAUGGUAUAGUGAACAAUUGAUACUAAUUAGAAUAGUACAAUGAUAACGAAUAAAAGUUACGCUAGGGAUAACAGGCUAAUAUGGUGAAAGAGUACAAAUUGUAAACCAUGUUUGGCACCUCGAUGUCGACUUAAUCCAUCCUAUUGGUGCAGUAGCUAAUAAGGGUUAGGCUGUUCGCCUAUUAAAGGAUUACAUGAGUUGGGUUAAAUACGUCGUGAGACAGUAUGGUUUCUAUCAUCUAUGGGUAAGUAUCAAAUUAAAUCUUAUAUUUAGUACGAAAGGAUUAAUAUAAAUCAAUCAAUGGUGUAUUUAUUGAUAAUUAAUAAAGAUUAAUUUCUUUAACAAUAUCAUUAUAUAUAAUUAUCACAGUAAAGUAGCUAAAUUGAUAAAUGAUAAAAACUGAUAGCAUAUUAAGUUUUAAAUGGUUUUAAAAAUAGAUACUUUAUACUUAAGUUAUAGAUAAUAACUGAAAUAUCAUUUUAAUAUAAUUGAAGUGUUUAGCUUUUUAUAUUAAUUAAUAGUAAUCUUUAUGAUUU
rnacentral:rRNA from 1 species